rnacentral:tRNA from 1 species
GCCUGCUUGGCGCAGUGGUAACGCGUAGCACUUGUAUGUAGAAGAUUACAGCGAUGCUGAGAUCAUUGGUUCGAUUCCAGUAGUAGGCA